rnacentral:rRNA from 1 species
AUUGAACGCUGGCGGCAGGCCUAACACAUGCAAGUCGAGCGAGCGGCGGACGGGUGAGUAAUGUAUGGGGACUGCCCGAUAGAGGGGGAUAACUACUGGAAACGGUGGCUAAUACCGCAUACUAUCGGAUAACCCAUAUGGGAUCAGCUAGUAGGUGGGGUAAAGGCUCACCUAGGCGACGAUCUCUAGCUGGUCUGAGGGGAUGAUGCGCCACACCUGGAACGAGAACAGGCCCCAACUCCUACGGAGGCAGCCGUUGGGAAUUUUUCACCAUGGGCGCAAGCCUGAUUGAGCCAUUCCGCGUGUAUGAAGAAGGGCGUAGGGGUGUAAAGUAACUUCCGCCGGGAGGCGUUACCCGCAGAAGAAGCACCGGCUAACUCCGUGCCAGCAGCCGCGGUAAUUC